CACUCAUACACACGUUCUGAAACUCUCUCAAAUUUAUAUUCUUAUUCUCUCAUUCUAACUCUCUGAUUCUGCCACUAAUUAUGUCUCUAGUGCCCUCUAAUACUCUCACCUAACAUAACUCUUACUUCUGUCGGUAAGACAGGAGAGGAUAGUAGUUUUUGCAUGGUGUUUAUUACACUUCAAAAACCAGAGUUAAAUAUAUACAGUCGUUGGUCUACUAGAAUCCCAUGUUGAAUGUCCUCUGAGGUGGGUGAGACCUCUUUUUCCUAUCUCUUUAGCAGCCCUGGUUGAGGAGAUGAUGGUUCCACCAUCUGCAGAGACCAAACUCUCAGCCAUCUCCUUUCUGCCCUACGCCCUCUUGAGGCCAAAAGAUUUUCUGCAGCAUCCUCUGGUUUUCUGCAAUUACAAAGGAAUCAUGGCUGUAUUUUCAAUGUUCCUGACGCUUAGCGAGCCAUUAUCGUAUAGGAUUAAGAGCUUUCUCCCUUUCUCCAUUAAAAAGAAAAAAAAGACCGUCCUUAGGCUGACUUCAUGGGCUUGUGACUUGUGCGGGCACAGAAGCCUUCUCAUGGCACCAUGCUUGGUUCUGCAAGUACCGUCUUGAAAUUCUCCAAUAUUUUGUCUUUGAACUUGUAAAUUAAGUUUCUAGGACAGUGGAGCAUGCGUGUGAACAGAGGUGUGAUGGGCAACAUGUGUUUGCCCUCUUUCCCCGUAACCCCAUUCCAUUCAUGUAGUGUUCACAGUGCCGUGUGAGCACAGAAUUCCUGCAGACCCCUGAUGUAUGGGGGUUCAAUGAGACUUAAAGCAAGUACAAGGUGAGCGAAUUACAUUUAUUAUGACUACUUAGGUGGGGAUAACAGCCCCCUAGAACUAGGAUUUGCUUGGAAUGUCAAAAGAUGGCACUGGCAUUCUCAGAAACAUAAAAAGACCAGGGAAAUCUAUUAUGCCCUUUCUUAUUUUUUUCUCUAUAUAAUUACAGCAAAUCACAUAGGGUGAAAAUGAUGGCAUGGAAAGAAAGGUAAGUUAGGGCCAUCUAGGGACUUCUUGGCAGUCCAGUGGCUAAGCCUGUGCAUUCCCAAUGCAGGGGCCCAGGUUUGUUCCUGAUCAGGGAACUAGAUCCUGCAUGCCUCAGCUAAGACCCAGUGCAACCAAAUAAAUAAGUAAAUAUUUUUUAAAAAGAUAGGGCCACCCAUAAUUCCUUCUCUUCUUGUUCUUCCUUGCCAGAAAACUGAAGGUAGAAAGAGUUAGCAGGAUGUGUACAUACCAAGAAUUGAACUAGAACCCAGCUGAGGUACUUUUCUGUAUUCUUUCCACUCUUGUAGUGAGGAUACUAUAUGUAUCCAUGGGCUUCCC
ensembl:lncRNA